UACGGAGGGUGCAAGCGUUGUCCGGAAUCAUUGGGUGUAAAGGGUGCGCAGGCGGACUGCUAAGUCUGGGGUGAAAGGCCACGGCUCAACCGUGGAAGGUCCCUGGAUACUGGUGGUCUUGAAUAUGAGACAGGCCGGUGGAAUUCGAGGUGUAGCGGUGAAAUGCAUAGAUAUCUCGAAGAACACCAGUGGUGAAGACGGCCGGCUGGAUCAUUAUUGACGCUCAGGCACGAGAGCGUGGGGAGCAAACAGGAUUAGAUACCCUGGUAGUCCACGCCGUAAACGAUGGAUACUAGGUGUCGUGGCUUUCGGGCUGCGGUACCGCAGCUAACGCGUUAAGUAUCCCACCUGGGGAGUACGCCCGCAAGGGUGAA
rnacentral:rRNA from 1 species